rnacentral:rRNA from 1 species
AUUGAACGCUGGCGGCGUGCCUAAUACAUGCAAGUCGAACGGAGUGGCGCACGGGUGAGUAAUAUAUAGCUAAUCUGCCCCUUGCUGGAGGACAACAGUUAGAACUGACUGCUAAUACUCCAUAGAAAGGGAUGAGACUAUAUCGGAUCAGCUAGUCGGUGGGGUAACGGCCUACCGAGGCGAUGACGCGUAACUGGUGUGAGAGGAUGAGCAGUAACAUUGGAAGGGAGACACCGUUGGGAAUCCUAGUGGAGGGAGCGGUAGGGUAUUGUGCGAAAGGGGGGUAGACCUGAAGGGGCUUCGCCGCGUAAAGUAUGUCACUUGGGGAGGAGGAAACUCAGUUUGAUAGGGUAGCGGUACCUAACGAAUAAGCACCGGCUAACUCCGUGCCAGCCGCCGCGGUAAUAC